GCCUACUAAUCAUUUGAUGGAAGAGCGAAGAUUAUGAUGAAAUGAUAAAUAGUGUAAUUUGUAUUUAAGCCUUUUUUGAGUAUAUAUUCACCUUUGUUACGAAAUAUUUAUCCAAUAUUGUACUUUUCAAACACAAAUGUAAAUUUAGUCGAUUUCAACAUGAAUAUCGAAUAUUAUUGCAGCGAAAAAAGAAAUAGAAGCUUAACAUGGUCAUUCAUCUUCAAUCCACUGAGAAUUGGAUAGCUACCAUGGCAUGAUUUGUUGUCUCUUUCAUCACACAGUAGUUUUUGUUCGGAUCCUACCAUGCCAAGGCCCACAGUUAUGCAGGUGACAUUACGAGAUCAAACUAGUAACAAUCUAAGGUCGCAUAUCCAGAUGAGGUAAGGAGUAUAAAGCAAUUAGUUCAUAAGAAUCACUGUUUAAUUAAUGUCUUGUUGGAAGCCUAUUUUCUACCUCCAUAAAGUAGAAGUAAAAUCUGCGUAAAUAUUUAAUAUCAAGCUCUCUAAACUCUACUAGUAAGAUUAUACUGAGUAUUUUGAGCUUACUAAUUUGUGUGAGAACAUAAUGACAUGCACACAUUUUUCAGCUUUUCCAUUAUUUAAACUAUUUCCUCCUUAAAUUUCUGUUUGCUACAUUUAUUAAGUUAAAAUAAACAUAUAGUUUAUACCA